GAUGAACGCUGGCGGCGUGCCUAAUACAUGCAAGUCGAGCGAACAGACGAGGCUCUUGCGCCGCUGGCGUUAGCGGCGGACGGGUGAGUCACGCGUGGAUAACCUCCUUCUAUGAGUUGGGUAACUGCGAGAAAGUGGAGUAAAUACCAGAAAAUAUAUUUAACCGCAGGGGUCGAUAGUUAAAGACGGGUUUGGUGUGAGUUAUCGACGUAUCCGCGUCUCAGUAGGUUGUUGGUAAGGUAAGGGCUUACCAAGGGGACGAUGCGUAGCCGGCCUGAGAGGGUGAGCGGCCACACUAGAACGGAGACACGGACCAGACUCCUACGGGAGGCAGCAGUAGGGAAUCUUCCGGAAUGGGCGAAAGCCUGACGGAGCAACGACGCGUGAGUGAUGAAGGUCUUCGGAUCGUAAAAGUCUGUUAUUAGGGAAGAACAAAUGUGUAAGUAACUAUGCACGUCUUGACGGUACCUAAACAGAAAGCCACGGCUAACUACGUG
rnacentral:rRNA from 1 species